CGGUAAUUCCAGCUCCAUAGCGUAUAUAAAGUUGUUGCAGUUAAAAAGCUCGUAGUUGAACUUCAGACCUGGGUGGGUGGUCCGCUUAACGGCGUGUACUGCUUGGCUGGGCCUUACUUCUUGGUGAGCCGGCGUGCCCUUUAUUGGUGUGCGUCGGGGAACCAGGACUUUUACCUUGAGAAAAUUAGAGUGUUCAAAGCAGGCCCAUGCCUGAAUACAUUAGCAUGGAAUAAUAGAAUAGGACGUGCGGUUCUAUUUUGUUGGUUUCUAGAGUCGCAGUAAUGAUUAAUAGGGACAGAUGGGGGCAUUCGUAUUGCGACGUUAGAGGUGAAAUUCUUGGAUCGUCGCAAGACGGACAGAAGCGAAAGCAUUUGCCAAAAAUGUUUUCAUUAAUCAAGAACGAAAGUUAGAGGUUCGAAGGCGAUCAGAUACCGCCCUAGUUCUAACCAUAAACGAUGCCAGCUAGCGAUCCGCCGAAGUUCCUCCGAUGACUCGGCGGGCAGCUUCCGGGAAACCAAAGCUUUUGGGUUCCGGGGGAAGUAUGGUUGCAAAGCUGAAACUUAAAGGAAUUGACGGAAGGGCACCACCAGGAGUGGAGCCUGCGGCUUAAUUUGACUCAACACGGGAAACCUCACCAGGCCCAGACACCGGAAGGAUUGACAGAUUGAUAGCUCUUUCUUGAUUCGGUGGGUGGUGGUGCAUGGCCGUUCUUAGUUGGUGGAGCGAUUUGUCUGGUUAAUUCCGAUAACGAACGAGACUCUAGCCUGCUAAAUAGGCGUACCUUAUGGUAUCGCGAAGGCCCCCGGCUUCGGCCGGUGGGUUUUUACUACCAACG
rnacentral:rRNA from 1 species